CCUACGGGAGGCAGCAGUAGGGAAUCUUCCGCAAUGGACGAAAGUCUGACGGAGCAACGCCGCGUGAGUGAUGAAGGUUUUCGGAUCGUAAAACUCUGUUGUUAGGGAAGAACAAGUUGGGUAGUAACUGACCCAACCUUGACGGUACCUAACCCGAAAGCCACGGCUAACUACGUGCCAGCAGCCGCGGUAAUACGUGCCUGCAGCCGCGGUAAUACGUAGGUGCCAGCAGCCGCGGUAAUACGUAGGUGCCAGCAGCCGCGGUAAUACGUAGGUGCCAGCAGCCGCGGUAAUACGUAGGUGCCAGCAGCCGGGUAAU
rnacentral:rRNA from 1 species